GGGCCCGCACAAGCGGUGGAGCAUGUGGUUUAAUUCGAUGAUACGCGAGGAACCUUACCAGGGCUUAAAUGGGAGAUGACAGGGGCAGAGACGCCCUUUUCUUCGGACAUCUUUCAAGGUGCUGCAUGGUUGUCGUCAGCUCGUGCCGUGAGGUGUCAGGUUAAGUCCUAUAACGAGCGCAACCCCUACCGUUAGUUGCCAGCGAUUCAAGUCGGGGACUCUAAGGAGACUGCCGAUGACAAAUCGGAGGAAGGUGGGGACGACGUCAAGUCAUCAUGGCCCUUACGUGUAGGGCUACACACGUGCUACAAUGGCCGGUACAAACGGUUGCGAACCCGCGAGGGGAAGCUAA
rnacentral:rRNA from 1 species